AGUUUUUCUGGUUUUGGGCCUCUUAAUUUCUUUGUGUUUCAAUCAUGCCUGCUCUUGUUAACUACGGUGGAGAUGAUGAAUUCUAUUCUACUGGGUCUUUUCGUACAAAUCCAAUCGACUUGGGUCGAUUUUAUUCAAUUGGUUCCCAUGUGGAUAUAUACAGCCCUCCCUGCAAGCGGGCUCGCACUAGUUCCCCUUUUCUUUAUGGAAUCUUCGAACCUGAGCAGAAUAAGCAGCCAUCAAUUGACGU
rnacentral:misc_RNA from 1 species